GUAGCUUGCUACCCGCUGACGAGCGGCGGACGGGUGAGUAAUGCAUAGGAAUCUGCCCGAUAGUGGGGGAUAACCUGGGGAAACCCAGGCUAAUACCGCAUACGUCCUACGGGAGAAAGGGGGCUCCGGCUCCCGCUAUUGGAUGAGCCUAUGUCGGAUUAGCUAGUUGGUGAGGUAAAGGCUCACCAAGGCAACGAUCCGUAGCUGGUCUGAGAGGAUGAUCAGCCACAUCGGGACUGAGACACGGCCCGAACUCCUACGGGAGGCAGCAGUGGGGAAUAUUGGACAAUGGGGGCAACCCUGAUCCAGCCAUGCCGCGUGUGUGAAGAAGGCCCUCGGGUUGUAAAGCACUUUCAGCGAGGAAGAACGCCUAUCGGUUAAUACCC
rnacentral:rRNA from 1 species